rnacentral:rRNA from 1 species
AACGAGCGCAACCCCUGUUUCCAGUUGCCAUCAAGUAAAGUUGGGGACGUCUGGAGAGACUGCCUGCGCAAGCAGAGAGGAAGGUGGGGGAGUGACGUCAAGUCAGCACGGCCCUUACGUCCAGGGCUACACACGUGCUACAAUGGCCGGUACAGAGGGCAGCGACCUGGUGACAGGUAGCGAAUCUCCAAAGCCGGUCUCAGUUCGGAUCGGAGUCUGCAACUCGACUCCGUGAAGCUGGAUUCGCUAGUAAUCGGAUAUCAGCAAUGAUCCGGUGAAUACGUUCCCGGGCCUU